CCUACGGGAGGCAGCAGUGAGGAAUAUUGGUCAAUGGACGAGAGUCUGAACCAGCCAAGUAGCGUGAAGGAUGACUGCCCUAUGGGUUGUAAACUUCUUUUAUAUGGGAAUAAAAUGUUCCACGUGUGGGAUUUUGUAUGUACCAUAUGAAUAAGGAUCGGCUAACUCCGUGCCAGCAGCCGCGGUAAUACGGAGGAUCCGAGCGUUAUCCGGAUUUAUUGGGUUUAAAGGGAGCGUAGGUGGAUUGUUAAGUCAGUUGUGAAAGUUUGCGGCUAAACCGUAAAAUUGCAGUUGAAACUGGCAGUCUUGAGUACAGUAGAGGUGGGCGGAAUUCGUGGUGUAGCGGUGAAAUGCUUAGAUAUCACGAAGAACUCCGAUUGCGAAGGCAGCUCACUGGACUGCAACUGACACUGAGGCUCGAAAGUGUGGGUAUCGAACAGGAUUAGAUACCCCGGUAGUC
rnacentral:rRNA from 1 species